rnacentral:lncRNA from 13 species
ACACUCCUCUCCGGUGACCGUGAAACACCCCAAGCAAUUGCAAAUUCUCCGCGGACCAUAGCUACAGAUAAUCAUUAUAUUAUGAUUCUUUUUUUCCAGGAAGGAUGGAAUUUUAUAGAUGCUUCCAAAGCAUUAUUAAUUAAUUAAUAUUACGUAUUACACAUUAAUAUUACGUAUUCCGGCUUUAUGACUGUAUUUCCGAUGAAUAUGUGAUGUAACAACCCUGCUUUCGCGUACGGACGAUAGUCGACCGGAGAACGAGGAUGCGUUCGAGGUCGAGGAGAGAAUUAAACAGCAGCGUUUAAGAAAAGGAAAUCUUUAUUAUAAUUAUGCAAAGCUAUUUGAUUACAAGAAAACGACGAAAACAAUAUAACACGGACAGAACGUAUUUUUGCACGUUGCAGAUAUUAGACGAUAUAACAUAGAUUAAACGCGAAUUACAAAUCGGAUUUCAGAUUGGAUUUUGAUAACACGACAUAGAUUUCCGCGAAUGCUACGGCUAUAUACAAGCGGCACGCAAACCGGCGUAGUUGUCGUUAGAACGAUCAGCUGUCACUCGUAUGAUAUUAAUGUUUGUGAAAGUACCUCUUUCAACCUUGUUGCAAUCUUGCAAAGACAUUUCAGAGACACUGUGCAACGUAAAUGUAACAGUCUGAAUAUUAUAUCCCUACAGAAACUUUUCUGAUUUAUCAGAGCUAUAAUUUAUAUACAUAAUUAUUUAAACUGACAAAUUUGAUUAAGUUGAAAAAUUUGAUCAACAAUUUUUCUUUUUCAAUGUAUAUCAAUUAAAAAUUAACUCAAAUGCGGUAAAAUAAAAUGAUCUUAUUUCCAUGCUACCCAUUCUAUCUACCAAUCUAUCUAUCUAUCUAUCUAUCUAUCUAUC